rnacentral:misc_RNA from 1 species
AAGUCGUAACAAGGUUUCCGUAGGUGAACCUGCGGAAGGAUCAUUAAUGAAAUGAUGUUUUUUGAGGUUUUAACCUCAAAAAAUAAUUCACCUUUUGUGCACUGUUAUAAGAUAUACUUUGGUUAGAGCUUUGAUUUCAUUUAUUGGAAUCAACUUCUUGCUGACUCUAUCCUUUCUGAGGACAGUUGGCUAUGAAGCGGCCUACCAAGGUUUUUUAUCAAACACAUUUAAUUUAUCUGACCUAAACUAUUAUAAUAAAAUCAUAACUUUCAACAACGGAUCUCUUGGCUCUC